ACGACGCAGUAUUUAGUGGAGGUAAGUAAUUUUAUUGAUUUUAUCAUUGUUAAACAUUGUUCACGUCAUGUUAUUGAUUAUUUUGCAACCGGCUUUGGAACUGUUUUAUGUACAAAUUUUGGCAUUUUGGCAUAGGUGUGGUUAUAUAAAUAUAGCUAAUUAAUGUAUCUUGAAAAUAAUAUAUUUGUUGUGCAGAGUAAAGGUAAAAUUGAAAAAACAUAACCACGACGCGGAGUGUCACAAAGUAGGUUACUUGUAGUAAAACUUCAGUUGCAGAUGGGAUAAAUAACUAAUGCUCAGUGAACGCAACCGUAUUCACGGCCGCUAUAGUUCUGGUUGUAAACAUCAUUACAGGUGUACAUCUCCUUUGAGUAAACCCUUCGGCUGAAACAAUUGGUACCAACAUGAAGAGGGACGCGUAUGGGGACGAGGGUCCCGCGCAGAAGCGGCAGCGGCAUUCAGACGACGAGGUCACAUUUCUCAUACCAAGCAAGGUGGCUGGUUCAAUCAUUGGAAAAGGUGGCACCAAUAUAUCAAAACUGAGAAACCAGUACAAAGCCUCUAUAACAGUCCCAGAUUGCCCCGGCCCCGAACGGGUGUUAUCAAUAACGGCUGAAGAUGUGGACACGCUUCUUGAAAUUGUCAAAGAAAUAUUGCCAUGUUUGGCGGAAGGAGGGCCCAAGGCCAUGGGCGACCAGGACCUGGACGUGCGUCUACUAAUCCACCAGAGCCGCGCCGGCUGCGUGAUCGGCAAGGCCGGCGCCAAGAUCAAGGAACUGCGCGAGAAAACCGGCGCCCGCUUGAAGAUAUUCUCUAGUCCGGCGCCUCAGAGCAUGGAGCGCAUCGUGCAGCUGGUGGGCAAGCCCGACGCCAUCGCCGCCGGCAUCCGAGAGGUGCUCGAACUCAUACGCCAGGUGCCAAUCAAAGGUCCAAUCCAGAACUACGAUCCGCACAAUUAUGACGAUUACUACGCGGACCAAUACGGAGGGUUCGGAGCCGGGCAGGGUGGCGGCGGUGGCGGCGGCGGCGGUCGUCCUCCCCGCGGCAUGCCGCCCAUGGGCCCCGCCGGCCGGCCCCCGCCGCGCGGACCCCCGCCCGCGCGCAACGGCCCACCACCUCCGCGCACUGGCUUUAACGACUUCUCCGGCCCUGGACCACGAGCUAACUUCAGCGGCGGUCCCCCGCGCGGAGGCUUUGGUGGCGGCAGCUUCGGAGGGAACUUCGGAGGCGGUGGCGGUGGAGGCCGCAGCUCCGGUUCUGGCGGCGGAAACUUCAACGGUAGCUCGGUCAACCAGCAGGAGACCACCACACAAGUUACCAUUCCCAAAGAUUUGGCGGGCGCCAUUAUAGGCAAGGCGGGGUCUCGCAUCCGCAAGAUCCGCGCGGAGAGCGGCGCCGGCAUAGAGAUCGCGGAGCCUCUGCCCGGCUCCAGCGACCGCAUCAUCACCAUCACGGGCACGCCGCAGCGCAUACAGAUGGCGCAGUACCUCUUGCAACAAAGAAUGUUUGAAGAAUUCCCAGAUUUGGCAUCAAACAAUGCAAACUAAGUUUAGAAUGUAUAGUUCGACUCAUGAAGUAUUUCAAGUCCAGGUAAAAAUGUAAACUUAAUUUGUAGAUUCGAUGGGUACUUUAGACAGUGUUUGAAUUUAUGUUUCAUUUUCUAUUUUACAAUAUUGCCUUUUCUAAUGUAGUUUUGUUAUCCUCGGGGUUAUAUAAGUAUGGAGUAAGAGAAAUUGGGGCGUAAUUAUUUUGUAAUUGGCUCAAAUAAUAUUUAAGUGCACUCUCUGUAUUUGCUAUGUAUUCAUAUUGUCAUAUAUUUCGAGAUUGUAUCGUAAACUAACUCAUCAUUAAUGUACUCAAUUGUAACUAACAUUUGUUUGUGAAUAACCAAUUUCUAGGUGGUCAUCGACUAACGGGUGCCAUCGAGGAGCCGCGCGUUGUAUGGAAGACUAGUGAUUUUGUUGUUUUGAUUAAUUAACAAGGAAUCACUAAUCUGCCUACAAAGCGUCGGCAUGCGCUUCGGAUCAAGAUAUUUCAUCUUCACACUGCUACAGUCUGCCUCUUUGUGUUACUAACAUUUUCUAUUAUUUUCAAUGUGUGGUAAAUAUAUUUUCAUUUAUGCUUUAAUAUAAAAAGUCUCAUGUUUAUUUUCGUUUUGCAGUGUGCACGAGAGCAACCCGAAUCUCGGCCGAAACUUCUGAUUCGAGGACAUAUUGAAUCGUAUGUUGCUGCUGUAACUUGUAAGGUUUAAUAAACCACCUCAUAUCACGUGAUUGAUUCUGUAACUGUAUAGUGUAACGCGAGGCUCUCGUUUAUAAUGGCGUGUAAAGUCUGACCUGGAAACAACCGAAAAAAAAAAGACAAAGGAUAAAUUUGUUUUGUAAAUAGACUUGUUUGUGCGUUUCUAUUUUAUUAUCACAAAUAAUUUUAUCUAUGUUUGGAACAACUGAUUAUUGAAAUAUAUUUUCACAUUUCCAGAUCAGACUUCACACAAAACGUAAGAAUGCAUUUAUCAUUAUAUACAUAAUAUUAUUAAAAGAGAAUUAUCUAAGAUUGUGUCAAUGAUUUACUGAUUUAUUUGUUACAUUACAUCGAUGUAAUUUUAAGUGAUAGGUAAUAGAAAUUAAACGAAGUUUAUUUUAUG
rnacentral:miRNA from 1 species